rnacentral:rRNA from 1 species
UACGGAAGGCAGCAGUGGGGAAUAUUGCACAAUGGGCGAAAGCCUGAUGCAGCUAUGCCGCGUGUAUGAAGAAGGCCUUGGGGUUGUAAAGUACUUUCAUCGGGGAGGAAAAACAAAACUAAUAAUUUUAUUUCUUGACGUUACCCGAAAAAGAAGCACCGGCUAACUCCGUGCCAGCAGCCGCGGUAAUACGGAGGGUGCUAGCGUUAAUCAGAAUUACUGGGCGUAAAGAGCACGUAGGUGGUUUUUUUAAGUCAGAUGUGAAAUCCCUGGGCUUAACCUAGGAACUGCAUUUUGAAACUGAAAUACUAGAGUAUCGUAGAGGGAGGUAGAAUUCUAGGUGUAGCGGUGAAAUGCGUAGAUAUCUGGAGGAAUACCUGUGGCGAAAGCGGCCUCCUAAACGAAUACUGACACUGAGGUGCGAAAGCGUGGGGAGCAAACAGGGAUUAGAUACC